GGGUUGUGAGGUUAAGCGACUAAGCGUACACGGUGGAUGCCCUGGCAGUCAGAGGCGAUGAAGGACGUGCUAAUCUGCGAUAAGCGUCGGUAAGGUGAUAUGAACCGUUAUAACCGGCGAUUUCCGAAUGGGGAAACCCAGUGUGUUUCGACACACUAUCAUUAACUGAAUCCAUAGGUUAAUGAGGCGAACCGGGGGAACUGAAACAUCUAAGUACCCCGAGGAAAAGAAAUCAACCGAGAUUCCCCCAGUAGCGGCGAGCGAACGGGGAGCAGCCCAGAGCCUGAAUCAGUGUGUGUGUUAGUGGAAGCGUCUGGAAAGGCGCGCGAUACAGGGUGACAGCCCCGUACACAAAAAUGCACAUGCUGUGAGCUCGAUGAGUAGGGCGGGACACGUGGUAUCCUGUCUGAAUAUGGGGGGACCAUCCUCCAAGGCUAAAUACUCCUGACUGACCGAUAGUGAACCAGUACCGUGAGGGAAAGGCGAAAAGAACCCCGGCGAGGGGAGUGAAAAAGAACCUGAAACCGUGUACGUACAAGCAGUGGGAGCACGCUUCGGCGUGUGACUGCGUACCUUUUGUAUAAUGGGUCAGCGACUUAUAUUCUGUAGCAAGGUUAACCGAAUAGGGGAGCCGAAGGGAAACCGAGUCUUAACUGGGCGUUAAGUUGCAGGGUAUAGACCCGAAACCCGGUGAUCUAGCCAUGGGCAGGUUGAAGGUUGGGUAACACUAACUGGAGGACCGAACCGACUAAUGUUGAAAAAUUAGCGGAUGACUUGUGGCUGGGGGUGAAAGGCCAAUCAAACCGGGAGAUAGCUGGUUCUCCCCGAAAGCUAUUUAGGUAGCGCCUCGUGAAUUCAUCUCCGGGGGUAGAGCACUGUUUCGGCAAGGGGGUCAUCCCGACUUACCAACCCGAUGCAAACUGCGAAUACCGGAGAAUGUUAUCACGGGAGACACACGGCGGGUGCUAACGUCCGUCGUGAAGAGGGAAACAACCCAGACCGCCAGCUAAGGUCCCAAAGUCAUGGUUAAGUGGGAAACGAUGUGGGAAGGCCCAGACAGCCAGGAUGUUGGCUUAGAAGCAGCCAUCAUUUAAAGAAAGCGUAAUAGCUCACUGGUCGAGUCGGCCUGCGCGGAAGAUGUAACGGGGCUAAACCAUGCACCGAAGCUGCGGCAGCGACGCUGAUGCGUUGUUGGGUAGGGGAGCGUUCUGUAAGCCUGCGAAGGUGUGCUGUGAGGCAUGCUGGAGGUAUCAGAAGUGCGAAUGCUGACAUAAGUAACGAUAAAGCGGGUGAAAAGCCCGCUCGCCGGAAGACCAAGGGUUCCUGUCCAACGUUAAUCGGGGCAGGGUGAGUCGACCCCUAAGGCGAGGCCGAAAGGCGUAGUCGAUGGGAAACAGGUUAAUAUUCCUGUACUUGGUGUUACUGCGAAGGGGGGACGGAGAAGGCUAUGUUGGCCGGGCGACGGUUGUCCCGGUUUAAGCGUGUAGGCUGGUUUUCCAGGCAAAUCCGGAAAAUCAAGGCUGAGGCGUGAUGACGAGGCACUACGGUGCUGAAGCAACAAAUGCCCUGCUUCCAGGAAAAGCCUCUAAGCAUCAGGUAACAUCAAAUCGUACCCCAAACCGACACAGGUGGUCAGGUAGAGAAUACCAAGGCGCUUGAGAGAACUCGGGUGAAGGAACUAGGCAAAAUGGUGCCGUAACUUCGGGAGAAGGCACGCUGAUAUGUAGGUGAAGUCCCUCGCGGAUGGAGCUGAAAUCAGUCGAAGAUACCAGCUGGCUGCAACUGUUUAUUAAAAACACAGCACUGUGCAAACACGAAAGUGGACGUAUACGGUGUGACGCCUGCCCGGUGCCGGAAGGUUAAUUGAUGGGGUUAGCCGCAAGGCGAAGCUCUUGAUCGAAGCCCCGGUAAACGGCGGCCGUAACUAUAACGGUCCUAAGGUAGCGAAAUUCCUUGUCGGGUAAGUUCCGACCUGCACGAAUGGCGUAAUGAUGGCCAGGCUGUCUCCACCCGAGACUCAGUGAAAUUGAACUCGCUGUGAAGAUGCAGUGUACCCGCGGCAAGACGGAAAGACCCCGUGAACCUUUACUAUAGCUUGACACUGAACAUUGAGCCUUGAUGUGUAGGAUAGGUGGGAGGCUUAGAAGUGUGGACGCCAGUCUGCAUGGAGCCGACCUUGAAAUACCACCCUUUAAUGUUUGAUGUUCUAACGUUGACCCGUAAUCCGGGUUGCGGACAGUGUCUGGUGGGUAGUUUGACUGGGGCGGUCUCCUCCUAAAGAGUAACGGAGGAGCACGAAGGUUGGCUAAUCCUGGUCGGACAUCAGGAGGUUAGUGCAAUGGCAUAAGCCAGCUUGACUGCGAGCGUGACGGCGCGAGCAGGUGCGAAAGCAGGUCAUAGUGAUCCGGUGGUUCUGAAUGGAAGGGCCAUCGCUCAACGGAUAAAAGGUACUCCGGGGAUAACAGGCUGAUACCGCCCAAGAGUUCAUAUCGACGGCGGUGUUUGGCACCUCGAUGUCGGCUCAUCACAUCCUGGGGCUGAAGUAGGUCCCAAGGGUAUGGCUGUUCGCCAUUUAAAGUGGUACGCGAGCUGGGUUUAGAACGUCGUGAGACAGUUCGGUCCCUAUCUGCCGUGGGCGCUGGAGAACUGAGGGGGGCUGCUCCUAGUACGAGAGGACCGGAGUGGACGCAUCACUGGUGUUCGGGUUGUCAUGCCAAUGGCACUGCCCGGUAGCUAAAUGCGGAAGAGAUAAGUGCUGAAAGCAUCUAAGCACGAAACUUGCCCCGAGAUGAGUUCUCCCUGACUCCUUGAGAGUCCUGAAGGAACGUUGAAGACGACGACGUUGAUAGGCCGGGUGUGUAAGCGCAGCGAUGCGUUGAGCUAACCGGUACUAAUGAACCGUGAGGCUUAACCUUACAACGCCGAAG
rnacentral:rRNA from 1 species